UCUUUUCUUCGAGUAGUUAAGUGAUGGGAGAAAACACGCAACUCAUCCGAGCCUUGACCGUCACCCCAUGCCUGCCAGCCUGCCACUCCAUCGUCAACCGUGAAUGCCGGCGUGGCACUUCGGCGUCGAUGUCACUGCCAGCCUGCCACAGGUGCAGCCUCACCCACAGCCGUCGUGGCAGGAAUCGAUCCACUACUGGUUGGGUUUGCAUUGAAGAGAGAAAGAGCCAGGAGAGAGAUUCACCGGAAACUAAAUAUCACUAUACUGCGCGCUCAUAUGUAUGUACAUAUUUCUGACCGAAAAUGGCCAGAUUCUUCAAAGCGAAUGGUGCAGACAAGGCACCGGAGUAUCUUGCAGCAAUCGCUACCGGCAUGGUUGUGGUGGCCGAAAUUGAACCACCGCCGCCCAGUGGAUCUCUGUCCUUGGCUCUCUCUCUCUCUUUUCGAUUCUCACUUUCCCGAGCUGGGUGGAUACAUUUGCGCCACCACAGCCACGUAAGAGGUCGGGAUUGCAUUUGAACCGCUGUUGAAAUUGACGAUGCAGUGCCGGGCUUGUGGAUGAUCAUGAAUUGUUUUUCUUCUGACUUUUCCUUCGGCGAUUUUCUUUUACCAUUUCUUUUUUAUUUUUUUAUCCUUUUCUUUUAAUUAUUUAUUACUUAUUUUUCUUCUUAUAUGGCAGUUAAUUGAGAGGGACUAUCCAAGAAAAUUCUUCAGGAGUAUUUCAAUUAAAAAAAAAACAAAGAAAAAAAUUGUUUAGGGAGUAAGUUAAGAGGCCUCAACAUCAUAAUAACGGUGUGAAAGAAGAACAAGCUAUUACCAGUGUCCCCAAAAUAUUAUAAUAACUAACUUUCUCUUAAAAAAGAGAAUAUUAUAAUUCGGCAAGAACGUGUUCGUUCAUGAUUCUAUCUUGCCAAAUAUUUGUUCUUCUUUUUCUUUUCUUUUUUUUUUUAAUUUUAUUGUUACAAUAUUAUCUUCUGAAAAACAAUACAUUUAAUUUAUUUAUAUUUAAUGGGGAUUUUUACUCUUCAAGUUCAGGGCCGCAUAUCUCUCCUCCUCAAGAUGAGAUUGAAAAUAUUUUCUGUAUAUGG